CCGAACCCUGGACACCGAGGCCCCCGGGCCGGAGAGCGGAGCCCUGGGGUCGUCCGAAGCGCGGGGCCCUGAGCCCCCCGGGUUAGACAGAGAAAUUCCCGGGCCUGCCGCAGAGCAGGAUACCGAGGUCCCCAGGCCAGGCGGCGAGGUCCCCGUGCCCUCCCCAGACCAGGGCACGGAGACCCCCGAGCAAGAGAGCGAAGUCCUCGGGCCAUCAGCGGGGCAGGAGGCAGAGCGCCCUGGACCGACCGCAGCUGAGAGCUUCGAGAGUCCUGGGCGAGGCAGCGACGACGCUGAACCGUGUGAAGCGCGAGGCGCGGGGCUCUUGGAGCAGUGUCCCUCUCAAGGUCCGGAAACUUCCUCUGAGUCAAACUCGGAAUCCCCCCAGCUGCGUUUUCUACUGCGCUCCGAGACCCCACAACAGCCCCCAGAGGAGCCGCUCAUGGAGACGCCCAUCGAGCGCGAAAUCCGCCGCAGCUGCGAACGCGAGGAGAGCCUGCGCCGGAGCCGGGGCCUGAGCCCAGGUCGCGCGGGCCGCGAACUCGUCGAACUGCGUGUGCGGCCGGUGCUCACCCUGCCGGGCCCCGGCUCCGCGCUCCCGCGCGCCUUGGAGCGCGCUCGGGCGGGCGCGCAGAUGCAGCGAGACAUCGAGCGGGAGGCCCAUCGGCAGGCGGCGCUAGCGCGCCCCGAGGUCCCAAAGCAGCGCGCCCGGCAGCCGCCUCAGCCGCUGGGCGAGCUCAAGCGCUUCUUCGAGGCUGCUGGCGGGUGCGGCUCCUCGCCGGCGGCGGAGGGCAGCGCGGACCCGCAGCGGCUGCCUGAGCCCGGAGGCCGGCCACGUUCAGUCGUGCAGAGCCGGUGCCCGGUGCUGGCCCGCGCCCCGCCGCCCAUCGCACCAUCGCUGCUGGAGCAGGAGGUGCGCGAGGUGAAUGAGCGCGAGCGGGAACUGCAGCGCCAGCGCCUCAGCGUCUACGGCACCGCCGAGUUCAAGGAGCCCGCGCCCAGCCUAACUGGGGCGCGGCCGCUCUCCUUCGUCCUGGCCGCCUCCAGCUGGUGAGAGGAGGGGCAAUCUCGGCUGAGCGCCCCUUCCCCCGCAGCGAGCAGGGGCGACGGAAAGCUGGCAGUGAUCUGGCCUCCCCGCAGAAAGGCUUCGGAGAACGGUCUGGAGCAGGAGGAGCGGAAGCCUUGAGGUUCGAGCCGGCUGGGGUCCCCGGACGAAGGUAACAUGCCCGCCAGAGGACCCAGGCAGGGGCGCCCAGGAGUGCCCUCCGGAUCGGCGGAAGGCCUGGAGAGGGGCUACAGGUCUGAGCCAGGAAAGACGCAAUCGAUCAGCCCCUCCUCGAACCUGACUUUGUGAAAUUGACCAGAAUCUUCUAUAAAACUGUUAGUCCCAACUGGGAAACACCACCAUCAACAGCCCCGCCAGUAAAACUGCCCCGCUCUUCUCCACCUAACUGCCAACGGAACUAUCCUCUCCUUCCGGCCUUGACUGUUAGAUAGGGGUCACCUCCUCGGCUGUCCCCACUCUCCAAUAAAGCCCCUUCUUUCUGGGCAGUGCAGGCUGUUUUCUUCUGGGUCCUCUUCGUCUGCGGUGGGGUGGGGCGGGAGCGCGGCGAGAGGAGCUAGGCUUGAGAAAGUCGCCGGAGGCGCCGGCUGGAAUGCAGA